UACGUAGGGUGCAGGCGUUAAUCGGAAUUACUGGGCGUAAAGCGUGCGCAGGCGGUUUCUUAAGUCAGAUGUGAAAGCCCCGGGCUUAACCUGGGAACUGCGUUUGAAACUGGGAGACUUGAGUGUGGCAGAGGGGGGUGGAAUUCCACGUGUAGCAGUGAAAUGCGUAGAUAUGUGGAGGAACACCAAUGGCGAAGGCAGGUCUCUGGGCUGACACUGACGCUCAUGCACGAAAGCGUGGGGAGCAAACAGG
rnacentral:rRNA from 1 species